UCAUCCCGUUCUUCAGCCUGCUCAUUAAGGACCUCUACUUCCUGAACGAGGGCUGCGUCAACCGGCUGCAGAGCGGACACAUCAACUUCCAGAAAUUCUGGGAGCUGGCCAAACAAGUGAGCGAGUUCAUGACGUGGAAGAAGGUGGAGUGUCCGUUUGAGAAAGACCGUAAGAUCCUGCAGUACCUGCUGACGGCGCCGGCCUUCACCGAGGACGCGCUGUAUCUGGCAUCCUAUGACAGCGAAGGUCCUGAGAACAACAUGGAGAAGGACAGAUGGAAGUCUCUGAGAUCCACUCUGCUAAGCAGGGUCUAAACUUCUGCAUCUGAAGAAACCAGAACGAAGACGAACAUGUGCGCCGGGUCGUUCCCCGCCCACGCCGCUGUCGUCCAAGCCAAGUAUCCCCGUGUUGGAGGGAAACGACAAUCUCUUAAAGAGUUCUGGAGGAUCUUUUGUGUCCCUCCAGCUUCAGAUUUCUAUGAAUCUCUGCUUCUCCUCCCGACCCUCCUGCUCUUUGUGUAUUUCAGGACGGCUCUUUUUUUACCUCUUUCUAUGAAUUUGUAGCUUUUUUUAAAAAACCGAAACGCUACAAACCUUCAGAAUAAAAGCGCAGGGUUGCCAAGGUCGGGGUCUAUGUUCCCCUCGCUAUUUUUUUCCACUGAAGCUAAACUGUUAGCCGCUGGUUGGCUAACUGACAGAAACUGUGGCUGGCUCCAUAAACGAGCACUCUUUAUAUGAAGACGUCGAACCUUAACCACAACACUGUUCAUGAUUAAGCUAGCCAUUAUUUCUCGUUUUGUUUCCUUCGAUUUCCCUGAGUGGCGAUCUUGUUUCCGAAGGUUUUGUUUGUUGUGAUGUGUCAGAAAAGAAAAUGCACUGGCUGCAGUUUAAAGAAGACGUUAAAGGUUGUUUUUUUUGUAUGUGUUGUAUAAAGUUUUGUGUUUUUUUAAAGCAGGAAGCAAAACUUAAAAGUGGAUUUCACACUAAAGGCUUCGUUAGUCGUGGUCAUCACACGGCGGCCGUUAAAGUCUGUCGUAACUCUCAGGGUGAGGAGCUAAAAUGCUAUCAUGUCUUAUCGCUACAUCAACCAUUAAAGACUCAUCUCCAACUCAAGACAACAGAAGUUAACGUUUAGAAAACAUCGGGCCGGCUCUUUUAAAUAAAAACUAAAUUCGUAACCCACUUAAUAGUUAGCAUUAGGAAGCAACCUUUUCCAAGCUAACAUAAGCUAACACACGUGAUAGUUGCAAACAUGGCAAUAAGAAAGCUCUAAAUUCCUAGCUUGCAGUAGUGUUAGCUCGCAAUUGGUUGAAUGAAAGUUGUUAAAACAAGCUAUCAGUUGCUAACAAGCUAGCUAAUCAAAUCUGCUUAAAUUAUGAUCUAAGUUUCAAGCUAACAUGCUAUGCUAGGGAUUUAAGCCUCCAAUUUGUUCACUUGGUUCACUUUCAAAGAGUAGGCUAGCUAGAAAGUGGUUGUGUACUAAUAACCUUAAAUAUAGCCGUCUGAUGCUCAGGAUUUCCACUUUUCUCUUUUUGUUAUCUAUUUUGAAGCGAUUAAACGUAGAAACAUUAUUUUGGUUUGUAAAGCUGCAAAACACGAUAAGAACAUUUUAGCUUCCCAGCCUGAUCCUGAGAAGACAAAAUAAACGCUGAAUAAAAAAACCGUGUUGGAUUUAAUUUAAGUGUCCAAAAGAUCUCAAACACAUAUUUUGAUGUUGGGAUAAGGUUUUAAGACGCUCAGACGUGAGCUGAGUUUGAAGCAGCCCGAGGCCUUUAUCAGCAGUUUGAUAAAAAGUGUGUUUCCUGUUUUGUUUUUCAUGAUAUUCAGUGUUAACGUCGCCCUCUGACGCUGGCUGUGGGCUGACCAUCCCUUUGGUUCCUGUUCUAUGUUAGAAAAAGAGUGUGGGUGUGCUGCCCCCUGGUGGUUCAGUCGGGCGGUUGCAUAAUGUGAAUUGAGGAUUUCUGUUAAACCCCUUUACAUACGGAGUAAUAUCAUUCAUGUGUUUGUACUUUUCAUAUCUUAUAAGCUUCCUUUGGUAUUUGUUUUAUUUAUGACGUUAUGUGUGUAGUCACAUUGUGCCCUCGCUGCCAAUAUUUACUUUAUUUUAUUGUUAUUUAAUUUUGUACUCGGUACUUUACGUGCUCCAGUAGUCCUCAGAUAUCGGCCUAUUAUUUUUUAUGAAAGUUUGUUUGAGACUCUUAGUUUUCCCCCGAGGUACCUGCUCAGAGUAUGAAGUUAAACGUGUUUGACGGACGUCUGCUUUACCUUAAAGUUCCUCCACGCUGACUGCUGUUUUCAGUGUACAGACUGUUUCUUUUCUCGCUUCUUGAUUUUCUUUCUCGACUGUUAAAAGUGGAAUUCUGAAUGAUUUUGUUGUUUAAAAGAUAAAGUUAAUAAAGAAUGUUUCAAAGUGAA